rnacentral:rRNA from 1 species
AGUGAACGCUGGCGGUAGGCCUAACACAUGCAAGUCGAACGGCAGCACAGUAAGAGCUUGCUCUUACGGGUGGCGAGUGGCGGACGGGUGAGGAAUACAUCGGAAUCUACUUUUUCGUGGGGGAUAACGUAGGGAAACUUACGCUAAUACCGCAUACGACCUACGGGUGAAAGCAGGGGAUCUUCGGACCUUUCGCGAUUGAAUGAGCCGAUGUCGGAUUAGCUAGUUGGCGGGGUAAAGUCCCACCAAGGCGACGAUCCGUAGCUGGUCUGAGAGGAUGAUCAGCCACACUGGAACUGAGACACGGUCCAGACUCCUACGGGAGGCAGCAGUGGGGAUUAUUGGACAAUGGGCGCAAGCCUGAUCCAGCCAUACCGCGUGGGUGAAGAAGGCCUUCGGGUUGUAAAGCCCUUUUGUUGGGAAAGAAAAGCAGCAGGUUAAUACCCCGCUGUUCUGACGGUACCCAAAGAAUAAGCACCGGCUAACUUCGUG